rnacentral:rRNA from 1 species
UACGGAGGGUGCAAGCGUUAUCCGGAUUUACUGGGUUUAAAGGGUGUGUAGGCGGGCUUUUAAGUCAGUGGUGAAAUCUCCGGGCUCAACCCGGAAACUGCCAUUGAUACUAUUAGUCUUGAAUUUUGUUGAGGUAGGCGGAAUAAGUCAUGUAGCGGUGAAAUGCUUAGAUAUGACUUAGAACACCAAUUGCGAAGGCAGCUUGCUAAACAAAUAUUGACGCUGAGGCACGAAAGCGUGGGGAGCAAACAGG